GUUGGGUAGGGGAGCGUUCUGUAAGCCUGCGAAGGUGGCCUGUGAGGGUUGCUGGAGGUAUCAGAAGUGCGAAUGCUGACAUAAGUAACGAUAAAGCGGGUGAAAAGCCCGCUCGCCGGAAGACCAAGGGUUCCUGUCCAACGUUAAUCGGGGCAGGGUGAGUCGACCCCUAAGGCGAGGCCGAAAGGCGUAGUCGAUGGGAAACGGGUUAAUAUUCCCGUACUUGGUGUUACUGCGAAGGGGGGACGGAGAAGGCUAUGUUGGCCGGGCGACGGUUGUCCCGGUUUAAGCGUGUAGGUGUGUGUUCCAGGUAAAUCCGGUUCACUUUAACACUGAGGCGUGAUGACGAGGCACUACGGUGCUGAAGCAACAAAUGCCCUGCUUCCAGGAAAAGCCUCUAAGCAUCAGGUAACAUCAAAUCGUACCCCAAACCGACACAGGUGGUCAGGUAGAGAAUACCAAGGCGCUUGAGAGAACUCGGGUGAAGGAACUAGGCAAAAUGGUGCCGUAACUUCGGGAGAAGGCACGCUGACACGUAGGUGAAGUGAUUUACUCAUGGAGCUGAAGUCAGUCGAAGAUACCAGCUGGCUGCAACUGUUUAUUAAAAACACAGCACUGUGCAAACACGAAAGUGGACGUAUACGGUGUGACGCCUGCCCGGUGCCGGAAGGUUAAUUGAUGGGGUCAGCGCAAGCGAAGCUCCUGAUCGAAGCCCCGGUAAACGGCGGCCGUAACUAUAACGGUCCUAAGGUAGCGAAAUUCCUUGUCGGGUAAGUUCCGACCUGCACGAAUGGCGUAAUGAUGGCCAGGCUGUCUCCACCCGAGACUCAGUGAAAUUGAACUCGCUGUGAAGAUGCAGUGUACCCGCGGCAAGACGGAAAGACCCCGUGAACCUUUACUAUAGCUUGACACUGAACAUUGAGCCUUGAUGUGUAGGAUAGGUGGGAGGCUUUGAAGUGUGGACGCCAGUCUGCAUGGAGCCGACCUUGAAAUACCACCCUUUAAUGUUUGAUGUUCUAACGUGGACCCGUUACCCGGGUUGCGGACAGUGUCUGGUGGGUAGUUUGACUGGGGCGGUCUCCUCCUAAAGAGUAACGGAGGAGCACGAAGGUUGGCUAAUCCUGGUCGGACAUCAGGAGGUUAGUGCAAUGGCAUAAGCCAGCUUGACUGCGAGCGUGACGGCGCGAGCAGGUGCGAAAGCAGGUCAUAGUGAUCCGGUGGUUCUGAAUGGAAGGGCCAUCGCUCAACGGAUAAAAGGUACUCCGGGGAUAACAGGCUGAUACCGCCCAAGAGUUCAUAUCGACGGCGGUGUUUGGCACCUCGAUGUCGGCUCAUCACAUCCUGGGGCUGAAGUAGGUCCCAAGGGUAUGGCUGUUCGCCAUUUAAAGUGGUACGCGAGCUGGGUUUAGAACGUCGUGAGACAGUUCGGUCCCUAUCUGCCGUGGGCGCUGGAGAACUGAGGGGGGCUGCUCCUAGUACGAGAGGACCGGAGUGGACGCAUCACUGGUGUUCGGGUUGUCAUGCCAAUGGCACUGCCCGGUAGCUAAAUGCGGAAGAGAUAAGUGCUGAAAGCAUCUAAGCACGAAACUUGCCCCGAGAUGAGUUCU
rnacentral:rRNA from 2 species